GCACUGGUGGAAGAAUUCUCAUCUUCCAAGCGAGAGACCAGGGUUCAAUUCCCUGUCAGCGCA
rnacentral:tRNA from 1 species